rnacentral:lncRNA from 1 species
GUGGAUAGUGAUAAGACAAGGGGAAUGGUUUUAAACUGAGACAGGGGAGGUUUAGGUUAGAUAUUAGGAAGAAGUUUUUCCCCCAGAGGGUGGUGACGCACUGAACAGGUUGCCCAAGGAGGUUGUGGAUGCCCCAUCCCUGGAGGCAUUCAAGGCCAGGCUGGAUGUGGCUCUGGGCAGCCUGGUCUGCUGGUUGGCGACCCUGCACAUAGCAAGGGGUUGGAACUGAUGGCCAUUGUGGUCCUUUUCAACCCAGGCCAUUCUAUGAUUCUAUGAUUCUUCUCAACCUUGUUAGCCUUUGCCAAGCAUCAUUUCAGCCUCAGCACUGCAGAUGUUUAACAGGUCCACACUAAAAGUCUUUGAACCUUGCAAUCAAUACAAGCAAGCCACCGCACAGAAUUUACCAUUAUCCAUGUUACGCUUCGUUAAAUGUUAGUUUUACAGCAUUUAGGUGUGUAACAUUGCUGAACUGGUUGUUUCAUCAUCAGCUCCAAAUAGCCAUGCAAGACUGACUGCAAGCAAAGCUCCAAGUCACUCAGUUUUUGACCUAGAACAUCAGUUUGUCCACUGCCAAGCUUCCCACCUGU